CGCAUCUGUGCAUGCAGCAUAUCAAUAAGCGGAGGAAAAGAAACUAACAAGGAUUCCCUUAGUAACGGCGAGUGAAGCGGGAAGAGCUCAAAUUUGAAAUCUUCAAGGUUUUACCUUGACGAAUUGUAGUUUAAAGAAGUGUUUUCUGUUGAAGUUUUGGUAAAAGUUCUUUGGAAUAGGACAUCAUAGAGGGUGAGAAUCCCGUAUUUGACCAUUAUUUUCAGCUGUGUGAUACACUUUCAAAGAGUCGGAUUGUUUGGGAAUGCAGUCCAAAAUGGGUGGUAAAUUUCAUCUAAAGCUAAAUAUUGGCGAGAGACCGAUAGCGAACAAGUACCGUGAGGGAAAGAUGAAAAGAACUUUGAAAAAGAGAGUUAAACAGUACGUGAAAUUGUCAAAAGGGAAGCGUUUGACACCAGUGUUGUUUUCUCGAAAAUCAAUUAAAAAGAGUUAGAUUUUGUUGUGUAUUGACCUUAACAGCUUGCAUUUCAAUUUUCUUGCUUUUUUUAAUGCACUUUUCGUUUAACAAGUCAACAUCAGUUUCUUUUGUUGUAAAAAGGUCAUUGGAAGGUGGCUUUCUUUUCGGAGAAAGUGUUUAUAGCCUUUGACUCCUGCAAUCGGAGAGACUGAGGUCUGCAGCGUAGAUCCUUCGGGGUUAGAUACAUUUGUGCUAAGUUAUAGCUUUUUAUAGACAACUUGUUGACUAUGAUUAGUCUUGUAGCUUACUCGCUUAUGCUAUUUUACCUACGCUUAGGAUGUUGACGCGCGUGUGUGCGUG
rnacentral:rRNA from 1 species